rnacentral:rRNA from 1 species
GAUGAACGCUGUCGGCGUGCUUAACACAUGCAAGUCGAACGGAAAGGCCCUGCUUUUGUGGGGUGCUCGAGUGGCGAACGGGUGAGUAACACGUGAGUAACCUGCCCUUGACUUUGGGAUAACUUCAGGAAACUGGGGCUAAUACCGGAUAGGAGCUCCUGCUGCAUGUUGGGGGUUGGAAAGUUUCGGCGGUUGGGGAUGGACUCGCGGCUUAUCAGCUUGUUGGUGGGGUAGUGGCUUACCAAGGCCUUGACGGGUAGCCGGCCUGAGAGGGUGACCGGCCACAUUGGGACUGAGAUACGGCCCAGACUCCUACGGGAGGCAGCAGUGGGGAAUAUUGCACAAUGGGCGGAAGCCUGAUGCAGCAACGCCGCGUGCGGGAUGACGGCCUUCGGGUUGUAAACCGCUUUCGCCUGUGACGAAGCGUGAGUGACGGUAAUGGGUAAAGAAGCACCGGCUAACUACGUG